AUCCAGAAGCUAGCAACAAGCAUCCGUCAUCUGCAUUGAAUAUUUUGUUGCCCUUGUUCUGGCAAAAGAUUGUAGUUAUACUUACUUGGUUACAAAGUGCUCUGAAAUGGAAAUCGGUAGAGUACCAGAAGGGUGGAGAAUGGUUUGGCAGUGUCCCCUCAAUUACUUAGCAAAAUUCUUGUUGAUGGCAAUUUGUUGAUGAAAGUUAAGAACUUAUGUUGCUGGUUAGGAAACAUCGAAACAUCUGGAGUAUGUGGAUGGGAACAGCUUCUCCCUCUACAGUCGAAGUCUGUUGUCAGUAACCCACUCUAUUGGUCACCGUCGGAAGUAUUGUAACCUUUUCGCACUGCAAUUGAUGUAUUAUAUGAGUACGAUUCUUCGGGGAGGGUGGCCAUCUGACUGGGAAACUCUUUUCGGUAGUGGUGAUCAUCCGAAGCAUUUUAGUUGUGAGGAAAUUCUUUGUGGAGUUAGUGAGGAAAUUCUUCGUGGAGUUAGAUUACUAGAGUACAGAGCAGUAAACUCCAAACUUAGGUGUUGUGGAAGCUGAUAUUCGUGUAUAUGCAGUAAUCACUACUGAUGAGGGAGAUGGGUAGAUUGUGAUUAGGAAGUUUUAGGGGUUUUACUGUUAUGGAGUGGGACUAGGUUUGAAGGUGCUGCAGAUGUCGCAGCUUUCACUUCCAUAAGCAUCAGCGCCCUCCAUGUGCAUCACCCCACUGCGCGUAGUCGCAGUUAAGUGUCCUACUUCCAUCUCAUUUCGCAUUUUGAUAUAAGAGAUUUUUGAAUACUUGGGAUUUCCCGCCGUCGAUGAUUAGCCCACAUCUGUCGUCGUCUUUCUCGAAGAGUUAGUUUCUGGGGCUUUAUAGAAACAUAGAGUGUCGUAAGAAGCUGAAUGCAGCAGCUCACAAUUGAGCUGUUUGCAAAUGACUACAGGUUCAAAAUCUGGAACGAUUGGGUUCACAAGUCACCUCAAAGUUUUGCUACUUCGGACAAACUCGUGGAUGAUGGUGUCGGCAGCAAUAUUAUCGACAAUCACACUGUGUCGUUUUUCAUUCUUAAACAAAGUCUCUGCAUUGCAAUCGAAGUGGCCUUCAUUGAUUUCUAUUUACAGUGCCGUCAUCAAUUGAAAACAAACGCCGCAGUUUUCCGACAAACGACAUGGGCUCAAAGUACUUUGAAACGUAUUAAAAUAUAGUGAUGUUGAUUGGGAUAUGCAUCAAUUUGUCCCAUGGUCCAGUGGUUACGACUUUGGACUUUGAACCCAAAUACCCGAGUUUGAAUCUUGGUGAAAGUAUUUGCUUGUUUAUAGUUCGAGGCUUUCAACACUUUGGCAUUAGUAUUUUUUGAAGCAAUGAUAAAGGAGCGUUCAAUAUUACGCAGUCAGCUCUUGAGUUAAAAGUUAUGAAAAAUGAAACUGUCCAAACCUAUUAAUAGUUUUUACAUGUUAUAUAUAUAUAUAUAUAUAUAUAUAUAUAUCCUAGAUGAAUAUUUAUUUUUAUGUUUGUUUGUUUGUUUGUUUUUUAUUCCGACUUCACCGCACAUUUGAGAACUCUGCGAGGCCUGAGUGCUGGAAACCCUAACCAUGUCCAUUAUUUUAAAGCUUGCCUAACCUCAAAAUAAAUCGAAUUGCCCAGAUAACAUAAAUGUUUUCGACAGCUUACGGCAUGGAGCUUAUAGUUCUGACUGAUACAACUGGAGAAGACCGCAUGCCGUUGGUUGGGUGAGCCAUCUCGUAGUGCAUAGUCCAACAGAACAAAUGAAAAGAGCCUUGGACUCAAAGGAUCCUUUGUCAAGAGUCAUUAGAUUCCAAUACUAGCGACAAACAUUGUUGCUGCUGAACAAUACACUGGAGCAUAAUGGAUUUUGGAAAUAACAUGCAGACGAUGAGGUUUAUUGUGAUGAUGGCAUCAACUGUAGCAUUUCUGUUUGUAGUCAAUGCUCAAGCUCCCGCACCUCCACCCCUUACGGAUUAUACUUGCAGUGCUAGCGUAAGCAAGCUCUUGGCACACAGCCAGGAUCCAUGCGCUAACACAUCGUCAUACGCAGACCUUGGAACAUGUGCAAAAUAUAUGAAUGAUUCUGAAGUAUUACCCUGUCUAGUAUUGCCUGAGAGUUUGAUAGGUGUUGACUAUACACCCCGCGUGUUUCUGUAAAGUCACCUUCCUCUCAAAGGUUUUAGAUCCAAGCCAAGUUUGAGCAUUAACCCGACAUCUGCUUUGCAACAUCACCGACAAUCUCGGCGCCUCCUGCAACAUAUACGUGAACGGUGUCAUACCUCAGUCAACAAAAGGAACUUCAAUUGCAACGAGUGUGAUCAUCAGCAGCCUCGUUGCGGCACUUGUCCUAAUUGGAUGCAGCGCACCAAUCUGUAUGUGGAAGAAGUUUUUUCGUAGAUACUAUCAGAAAGAAUAUGAUCAACAAUGUCAUGAAUGGCAUCAGGGAGUACUACCAGAUGGUGCAGAAGAGGUAGUGAAGCAGUUGUCAGCUAAGUCUCUACAAGAAAACGAGUAAUUUUUCAACGAAGUGACGCUGAAUACCAGCAAGCAGCACCGAAAUCUUUUACAGCUUCGAGGAUGUACAAGUACCUGGAAAACAAGAGCCUUCACCAAGCCUUAUUCGAUACGCAGAGGAUGACCUUUUGAUUGGAAAACAAGACUGAAGAUUCUAGAAAGAACGACACGUGGUAUGGCAUACUUGCUUAAGCGAUGUCACACCCGGAUUGUGCACAGUGAUAUCAUAGCCAGCAACAUUCUUUUGGACAAAGACCUCAAUUCUAAGAUAGCCGACUUUGGGUUGGCUUGCAUCUUCUUCGAUAACGACACGCAUGUCAACACUUGUAUUGCUGGAACAGCAUAAGAUUAGCAUGAUCAUUUACUACAUUGUAUAGCAACUAUCUUAUUUAAUGAAUCAGUGCGAGUUCAUGACCUUUGCUCUAGUUUUGCAGCAAUUCAGGUCAGUUUAGCGGUUCAUGGUUUGAAGGUUGUAACUUCCGUUACAAAAGUUUAUUGAUUUGGUGACACAUUGGUUAUUUAGCGCCGAAGUUUGCGAUGCGGGGGCAAUUGACAGAAAAAGCCAACGUGUUCAGCUUUGGUAUUGUUGCUUUGGAGCUCAUCAACAGUCGUGCCAACCUUGACCUCCGUCUUGAACAAGAUACCGCCUAUCUCCUUGGCUGGGUACGUCUUCUCUUUCAUUCCAUACUUUACCCGGAAGAAGAUGUCACACUCUUUUCAAAAUACACCACGUGGCUGACUAACUGGAUCUACACCAAAGCAAGCAUGGCAAUUGUACAUAAAAAAAAAUUGAUGGACCUGCUUGACCCGGCAAUAAGCUGGACUCACGAUGCUAUGGAAGAGGCGGCCCGUGUUGUGGAGAUGGCACUCCUGUGCACACAUUUGCGGUCGUCAGUAAGACUCACCAUGACAACGGUGGUGGCAAUCCUCACAUGAAGAAAUAAUGUGAUCAUUCUUUGAAUGUGAUCAUUCUUUGAAUUCUUUGAUGUUUUCGAUUACAACAACAUAGAUAAAAAGUAGUGCAGCAUGGAAAGAACAAAACUGGGUCUCAAUUCCUAUGUUCAAUCAUAUCCUUUCCGGGGGGCACAUUUGUCAAGUAGUAAUAACAACACCAGUAUUGUCAGUCCUUUGGAGCCUCAAUAGAUUGCCAAAAGUACCCACAUUUGUUGAUUAAUUUUCACCUGCACUGAUGGUUGCUCCCUACCGAUUCAUAGAGAGCUUUAUGAAACUACCACAAAACAUCUCGUCCUUUGAU